GCCAAGGUGGCGUAGCCCGGAACAUGCUGGAGACUUCCAGCAGUGGGUAAGAACGCACUAGAUUUAUCGGAAUGCUCGAUAUUGGUGAAACUGAAGAUCUAGGUAUCGAGGGUUCAAAUCCCUCUCUUGGCACCA
rnacentral:tRNA from 1 species